rnacentral:lncRNA from 12 species
UGAGACCCCAGACCCAAAUUAACCCCAGAGCCCUUUUCGAGAACCCUGAGACCCCAGACCCAAAUUAACCCCAGAGCCCUCCCCGAGUGCCCUGAGACCCCAGACCCAAAUUAACCCCAGAGCCCACUUGAGUAUCUUGGGACCGCAGACCCAAAU